rnacentral:tRNA from 1 species
CGUGGAGUAGAUCAGUGGCAGAUCGCCCGGCUGAACCCCGGGGUGGCGCGGGUUCGAUUCCCGCCUCCAUGUCCA